UGUUACACAGAUUUGGUUCUAAAUUGAACCAUUUUUUACCACUCGAGAAUUUAUAAAAAUGAUCAAUAAUCCCUCCAAAAUACCACAUUAAGACUCCAACACCUUGAGGAACACUGUAGAAAAAGCCUUGCUGUGAUUUACUUUCAAAAUCUUUUGACAUUUUGAGAUUCCUGCAAGAAUUGCAUUUUUCCGGGAUUGGAUGGCGAGCGCUUCUGUUCUUGAAACUGCUCAGAAACCCCCUUAUUGUCAAUCUAACUAGGAAGGCCAUCCAUCCUGUGAAUGCUCUAGGUCUCAAGUCUGGCCCAUCCAUCCUCUGAAUGCCCUAGGUCUUUAG